UAUUAACAAGCAACGAUUCAACGAACGACACAGCAAGACUAUGGCGGCCGGCCACAGGGGACGGCCAUCAGCACCAGCGCACGGUGUCCCAUCCGCGCCGAUCAGAUCUUGCUUGACAGGGACGCCGGCCGAGGAGCUGGCGGCGGAGCGCCGCUCUCCUGGUGCCCGGACGACUACAUCUUGCGCACUGGCGGAGCUUGCCGCCAAAGGCAGGGGGAGCAACAGUGAAGGGUAUAUAGAAUAAACUGUGUUAGUAAAUGGCCAACGGUGAAUGGAAAAGAACUUACACAGAUGCAGGAGGCAAGGCCCCUGCUGGCCCUAAGGAAGCUCCGGAGAUCAACUGAUGUGGCCAAAAACUAAAGUUGCUUGCUUGAUGUGCUGGAUUUACCAACUAGUUCGUGAGCGGUGUUGACAGUAAGCCAGGAACUGAAGCAGCAUAGAUCAGAUCAGAAAAGGAGAUAUUACAAGAGGAGAAACAACUAGAGCUCAUCUAUUGAAAUCCAAGAGGUUGCAUGCAGGCUGAAACAACAAAGGAGAACACCACCCGGUUUACGACUCCGUGGAGUUCAUCCUAGAUCAGUUUUUCUUCAGUUUUACCUCUUUCAGGAACUCAGUUUUUCGGUUUUUCCUCAUGCGUUUCCCUUUCUUUUUUGCCCUUUUGGAAAGUUUUGAGUUGACAGCUUGGUAGGGUAUGAUGCAUUGGUACAAUUUCAGAAAUUUUCGGAAAAACCAAUUUCGUUGAGUUCAAAAGAACAACAUGUCAAUGUCAAUAUCCAGGAGCUGUUUAAAAGUGGGUUGCCAAUACACUACAUUCCAAAUCAUAUUUCUUUCACAAAGUUCUGAACUCAUAGCAUAACUAAUAUUACCCUGGAUCUAACAUAUCAAGUUUACAAGCUUGAUUCCUUGAUUUUGUUUCUUCUGUAAACUACUAAAAUAAGUACCCCAGUUUUACAAAUCCUAAGCUAGCCGUGUUUAAUCAAAAGUGUUGGUGAAAAUCCCAACUAAUUGCUCAAUUUGAGUGGUUUGUUGCUAUAAAUGUAUCUCAACUCACUUUCGGGUCAACUCAUGAACUCAAUUCUUUCAUUUAUGAAAAUAAUAGGCACUGCAAGAUAAUGGCUCUUCUUCUCUGGAGCAUGAAAGAAGUACAAAAUGAAGUGUCAGUUAAGCAGUAUACAUGUUGUAUCUCGUUUAGCUUGUUGUUGUAACAUCUCUGUUUGGCACCUUCGAACUGCCAUUAUGUAAUUGCACCUUAUUCUAUUUCCUUCUUUAAUGAAAGGGCAGAGCACCUGCCAUCUUCCUUCAA